rnacentral:rRNA from 1 species
GACGAACGCUGGCGGCGUGCUUAACACAUGCAAGUCGAACGAGUGGCGAACGGGUGAGUAACACGUGGGUGACCUGCCCUGCACUUCGGGAUAAGCCUGGGAAACUGGGUCUAAUACCGGUUAGUGUGGGAUGGGCCCGCGGCCUAUCAGCGUGUUGGUGGGGUAAUGGCUACCAAGGCGCGACGGGUCGCCGGCCUGCGAGGUUGGGCGGCCACAUUGGGACUGAGACACGGCCCAGACGCCUACGGGAGGCAGCAGUGGGGAAUAUUGCACAAUGGGCGGAAGCCUGAUGCAGCGACGCCGCGUGGGGGAUGACGGCCUUCGGGUUGUAAACUCCUUUCAGCGGGGAGGCGUUACCCGCAGAAGAAGCACCGGCUAACUCCGUGCCAGCAGCCGCGGUAAUAC